GGAGGAGGAUGAUCCGGCUGCCACACUGUCACCCCACUGAUGGCUGGGCUGACGUGGCAGAUCCGGGUGGCUGGGCAGGGGACCCCUUCCCCCUUGACGCUCUACGUGUUCCCUUCCAAAGCUGCGUGCUUGGUGGAAUAGGACCGCCGCCUCAUACAGCCUCCAAAUCAGCUCUCAGAAGUGAAGGGGAGAAGAUUUUCC
rnacentral:snRNA from 1 species